AGAGAAGAAGACAUUCAGGGAGACACCAAGCCAGGGAGGUGACAAGUAUGUGGUAAAAUCCGAGCACGCAGAAUUUGGGGGAACAGGACUCUAGACUGCCUCUAGAGAGAGCUGUAUUGAAGGCCCUGCGACCCAGCACAGAGAAGGGAAUGGUGCUCUAGGUCCCUGCCUCUGCAGAAGACAAAUCCAGGAAGAGAACCAGGAAACUGCAGAGUAGCCAGCCACAUGCGAGAAAAAUCUGAAGGAGACGAAAAUGUUUCAGGAGAAAGGGCUUUUCAACUGGUGCAUAAUUUAGGUUAAAGUUUCUGAGCAGCUCUGGACUGCAAAAGGGCCUCCCUUCACUGAGCAGAUGUAUAUGACCCCGUGCUUCUCCGAUUCAUACCAAACUUCAGAGAAACUCCGGGAAAGGUUCCUUCUGUAUUUAUGGAUGAGAAUUAUGUGAAGCCUCUACAACCAUCGUAGUUCAUAUCUCCAGAGAGGUAAAG
rnacentral:lncRNA from 1 species